rnacentral:rRNA from 2 species
UACGGAGGGUGCAAGCGUUAUCCGGAUUUAUUGGGUUUAAAGGGUGCGUAGGCGGCCUUAUAAGUCGGUGGUUAAAGGUGGUCGCUUAACGAUUUCACAUGCCAUCGAUACUGUAGGGCUUGAGUGAUUUGGAGGUAGCUAGAAUUCCCUGUGUAGCGGUGAAAUGCAUAGAUACGGGGAGGAAUACCGAUUGCGAAGGCAUGUUACUACGAAUUAACUGACGCUGAGGCACGAAAGCGUGGGGAUCAAACAGG